UACGUAGGGUGCAAGCGUUGUCCGGAUUUAUUGGGCGUAAAGAGCUCGUAGGCGGCUUAGAAAGUCAGGUGUGAAACCUCCAGGCUCAACCUGGAGACGCCACUUGAUACUUCUAUGGCUUGAGUUCGGUAGGGGUAAGCGGAAUUCCUGGUGUAGCGGUGAAAUGCACAGAUAUCAGGAGGAACACCGAUGGCGAAGGCAGCUUACUGGGCCGAUACUGACGCUGAGGAGCGAAAGCGUGGGGAGCGAACAGG
rnacentral:misc_RNA from 1 species